CAAAGAAUAGUUUAAGUAGAAUACUAGCCCUGGGAGCUAGUGGCAGGGGUUAGAACCCCUUUUCUUUGA
rnacentral:tRNA from 1 species